rnacentral:rRNA from 1 species
UACGUAGGGGCCUAGCGUUGUCCGGAUUUAUUGGGCGUAAAGAGCUCGUAGGCGGUUCGGUAAGUCAGGUGUGAAAUCUCCACGCUCAACGUGGAGGCGCCACCUGAAACUGCCGUGACUCGAGUCCGGUAGGGGAGUGUGGAAUUCCCGGUGUAGCGGUGAAAUGCGUAGAUAUGCGGAGGAACACCGAUGGCGAAGGCAAUCCCCUGGACCUGUACUGACGCUCAUGCACGAAAGCGUGGGGAGCGAACAGG